ACGGCUUUACCAUGCUGAAUAUACCGGUUCUCGUUGGAUCACCGAAGUCAAGCAUCAUUGGGCGCGGUCAGUACCUGGG